GUGGUUUAAUUCGAUGAUACGCGAGGAACCUUACCUGGGCUACGAACGUAAGAUGCUGUAGGUGAAAGCUUACAUCUCUUCGGAGCAUUUUACGAGGUGCUGCAUGGUUGUCGUCAGCUCGUGCCGUGAGGUGUCGGGUUAAGUCCCAUAACGAGCGCAACCCCUACCUUUAGUUGCCAUCAGGUAAUGCUGGGGACUCUAAAGGAACUGCCUACGCAAGUAGUGAGGAAGGCGGGGAUGACGUCAAAUCAGCACGGCCCUUACGUCCAGGGCUACACACGUGCUACAAUGGCCGAUACAGAGGGCAGCUACCUGGUGACAGGAUGCAAAUCUCCAAAGUCGGUCUCAGUUCGGAUCGGAGUCUGCAACCCGACUCCGUGAAGUUGGAUUCGCUAGUAAUCGUGAAUCAGAAUGUCACGGUGAAUACGUUCCCGGGCCUU
rnacentral:rRNA from 1 species